rnacentral:rRNA from 1 species
UACGAAGGGUGCAAGCGUUACUCGGAAUUACUGGGCGUAAAGCGUGCGUAGGUGGUUUGUUAAGUCUGUUGUGAAAGCCCCGGGCUCAACCUGGGAAUGGCAAUGGAUACUGGCAAGCUAGAGUGCGGUAGAGGGUAGUGGGAUUCCCGGUGUAGCGGUGAAAUGCGUAGAGAUCGGGAGGAACACCAGUGGCGAAGGCGGCUACCUGGACCAGCACUGACACUGAGGUGCGAAAGCGUGGGGAGCAAACAGG